rnacentral:rRNA from 1 species
UACGGAGGGUGCAAGCGUUAUCCGGAUUUACUGGGUUUAAAGGGUGUGUAGGCGGGUCUUUAAGUCAGUGGUGAAAUCUCCGAGCUCAACUUGGAAACUGCCAUUGAUACUAUUGAUCUUGAAUUUUGUUGAGGUAGGCGGAAUAAGUCAUGUAGCGGUGAAAUGCAUGGAUAUGACUUAGAACACCAAUUGCGAAGGCAGCUUGCUAAACAAAUAUUGACGCUGAGGCACGAAAGCGUGGGGAUCAAACAGG